AAUAAAAUUUGCAAGUUUUAAUAUAUAUUACUUUUAAAAAAUAAAUCGUCACGCGGUAUACCGCGGAUUAAAAUCUAGUUCACUUAUAGUGGUGCAGCCAAUUUAA
rnacentral:sRNA from 1 species